GCCAGCUUAGCUCAGUUGGCAGAGCAGCUGAUUUGUAAUCAGCAGGUCCUCGGUUCGAGCCCGAGAGCUGGCU
rnacentral:tRNA from 1 species